GUGGGAGCACCCUUUGAGAGUGAUUCAUUCACAGCGCCAGUCAUUGGGAUUAACCCAAUAUCGAUUCCCGGCAUAUCUAGCUUACCUCGGAGUGACGGACUUGCAGGACCAGCCACCGGGACUGAUACUCUUAUGACUCCUGGCAUUCCCCGGAUACCUGAGGAUGAUGGACCCACAGG